GAUGAACGCUGGCGGCGUGCCUAAUACAUGCAAGUCGAACGCUUUGUGGUUCAACUGAUUUGAAGAGCUUGCUCAGAUAUGACGAUGGACAUUGCAAAGAGUGGCGAACGGGUGAGUAACACGUGGGAAACCUACCUCUUAGCAGGGGAUAACAUUUGGAAACAGAUGCUAAUACCGUAUAACAAUGACAACCGCAUGGUUGUUAUUUAAAAGAUAGUUCUGCUAUCACUAAGAGAUGGUCCCGCGGUGCAUUAGCUAGUUGGUAAGGUAAUGGCUUACCAAGGCGAUGAUGCAUAGCCGAGUUGAGAGACUGAUCGGCCACAAUGGGACUGAGACACGGCCCAUACUCCUACGGGAGGCAGCAGUAGGGAAUCUUCCACAAUGGGCGAAAGCCUGAUGGAGCAACGCCGCGUGUGUGAUGAAGGGUUUCGGCUCGUAAAACACUGUUGUAAGAGAAGAAUGACAUUGAGAGUAACUGUUCAAUGUGUGACGGUAUCUUACCAAAAAGGAACGGCUAAAUACGUGCCAGCAGCCGCGGUAAUACGUAUGUUCCAAGCGUUAUCCGGAUUUAUUGGGCGUAAAGCGAGCGCAGACGGUUAUUUAAGUCUGAAGUGAAAGCCCUCAGCUCAACUGAGGAAUUGCUUUGGAAACUGGAUGACUUGAGUGCAGUAGAGGAAAGUGGAACUCCAUGUGUAGCGGUGAAAUGCGUAGAUAUAUGGAAGAACACCAGUGGCGAAGGCGGCUUUCUGGACUGUAACUGACGUUGAGGCUCGAAAGUGUGGGUAGCAAACAGGAUUAGAUACCCUGGUAGUCCACACCGUAAACGAUGAGUGCUAGGUGUUUGAGGGUUUCCGCCCUUAAGUGCCGCAGCUAACGCAUUAAGCACUCCGCCUGGGGAGUACGACCGCAAGGUUGAAACUCAAAGGAAUUGACGGGGACCCGCACAAGCGGUGGAGCAUGUGGUUAAUUCGAAGCAACGCGAAGAACCUUACCAGGUCUUGACAUCCCUUGACAACUCCAGAGAUGGAGCGUUCCCUUCGGGGACAAGGUGACAGGUGGUGCAUGGUUGUCGUCAGCUCGUGUCGUGAGAUGUUGGGUUAAGUCCCGCAACGAGCGCAACCCUUAUUACUAGUUGCCAGCAUUCAGUUGGGCACUCUAGUGAGACUGCCGGUGACAAACCGGAGGAAGGUGGGGAUGACGUCAAAUCAUCAUGCCCCUUAUGACCUGGGCUACACACGUGCUACAAUGACGUAUACAACGAGUUGCCAACCCGCGAGGGUGAGCUAAUCUCUUAAAGUACGUCUCAGUUCGGAUUGUAGGCUGCAACUCGCCUACAUGAAGUCGGAAUCGCUAGUAAUCGCGGAUCAGCACGCCGCGGUGAAUACGUUCCCGGGUCUUGUACACACCGCCCGUCACACCAUGAGAGUUUGUAACACCCAAAGCCGGUGGGGUAACCUUCGGGAGCCAGCCGUCUAAGGUGGGACAGAUGAUUAGGGUGAAGUCGUAACAAGGUAG
rnacentral:rRNA from 1 species